CCUACGCGGUGCUGCAGUGGGGGAUAUUGCACAAUGGGGGGAACUCUGAUGCAGCGACGCCGCGUGGGUGAAGGAGCGUUUCGGCGCGUAAAGCCCUAUCGGCAGGGAAGUAGAUGACGGCACCUGACCAAGAAGCCCCGGCUAACUACGUUCCAGCAGCCGCGGUAAUACGUAGGGGGCCAGCGUCAUCCGGAUUUACUGGGUGUAAAGGGGGCGCAUACGGCACUGCAAGCCAGGAGUGAAAGCCCGGGGCCCAACCCCGGGACUGCACUUGGAACUGCAUGGCUGGAGUACAGGAGGGGCAGGCGGAAUUCCUGGUGUAGCGGUGAAAUGCGUAGAUGUUAGGAGGAACACCGGUGGCGAAGGCGGCCUGCUGGACUGUGACUGACGUUGAGGCCCGAAGGCGUGGGGAGCAAACAGGAUUAGAUACCCGAGUAGUC
rnacentral:rRNA from 1 species